rnacentral:lncRNA from 1 species
AUCUCUCACCACCAGUACCUUCGAAGCCACCAAAGCCUACCUCAAUUUGAUCGUAAAAAGAUUAGAAAACUAAACCAAAAUCGCGCUACGAUAGUGAUAAAAAAUGACGACUGAAAAUUGGAUUCGCAAUUGAGCUAAUCCGCAGGUCUACCACAAACCGAUGGCCUUCCACCACACCCCACCUACUCCAAGCCAGACAAUAAGAUUGACUACUGAGAUCAAGAAUCCGUAGCCCCACCAUUUGGCAAGCGGCACAUAGCCAGCACCAUUGGAUUCGCAAUUGAGCUAAUCCGCAGGUCUACCACAAACCGAUGGCCUUCCACCACACCCCACCUACUCCAAGCCAGACAAUUAGAUUGACUACUGAGAUCAAGAAUCCGUAGCCCCACCAUUUGGUAAGCGGCACAUAGCCAGCACCAUAAAACACAGGUGCUGAU